rnacentral:tmRNA from 1 species
GGGGGCGAUCGGCUUCGACUGGAUGACUGUAAGUUGAGGUGGCGUGUCGUGGUUGAUCAGCCGGCCACGUAAAAAGCUGAUCGAACAAUAAUUGCAAAACCUUCUUUGCAACUGGCUGCGUAACAACGCGGUCCCGGCUUAGGAAUCCUCGCCUGAGGAGUCCGACUGUCGGUUGAAAAAUCAGGCUGGCUUCUGUUCACUGCCCACCACGGCGGAAGCGAGAUUCGUUGUGGGCUGGCUGAUGGCGGCUUUGUUUAUUGAGCCAAAAUCAGUGAGAUCAAUCAAUAAAAUACACACGUAGAGGCUUCAGCCGAGGCAUCACAGGACGCGGGUUCGAUUCCCGCCGCCUCCAUUU